AUGAUUUGGCCUCCCUGUUGGAUGGUGUCUGCUUUCCAUUUGCUGGGGGUUGUUCACAAGGUCCAAGGACAUGACAAGAGGCUGCCAGCAGGACAACAGCAAGCCUUGGAACACGGCACUUGCCUCUCAGCCUGCUGCAUUUGCUCUACUUCAAGGAGGAAGGUGUGCUUUCUGUUCUGCAAAGCGUCUUGCAUUAUUUUUAAAACAUUUUGCCUUUGGGGCAACCAGCCCAGCUCAAUUUGCCUGGGGGCUUUUGGCUCUACAAUCUCUUCCAACAUUAAACAAGUGAAUCCUGUGCACCCUGGUGCCUGGCUACUUCAAGAGUUGAGCUAAUCACAGGGAAGAUUCAGUCUCAGUUCAGCUGCC
rnacentral:lncRNA from 10 species